rnacentral:tRNA from 1 species
UCCCUGUUGGUCCAGUGGCUAAGAUUCUGUGUUGCCAAUGCAGCGGGCCCAGGUUCGAUCCCUGGUCUAGGAA